rnacentral:lncRNA from 1 species
GUGUGGUAGUCUUGAAUUUUUUUAUCUCAUAAUUAUAUGUUUGUGUGGGGUAGACUUCACAAAUCACUUGGAGAUGUCAAGAAUUAAAUGCAUGGUAGACACUUUCUUAAAACCUAGAAUUCCAUUAAAAUACAAAUUACCAUUUUACUUAGGAUCCUUACUGCUUUCAAGAUGACACACAUGACAACAGAGGUAAAAAUUUUGUGUCAUCUUAAAUGCAUUAAAGAUGACAAAAGCAAAAACAACAGAGGUG